GUCCGACUCCAAGCCCAGCUGGCACGCGUCCGCCAGGGACUCCUCUAGGGCCUGCAUGUGUGGAGAGAGAAAGUUAAAGGACCACAGGUGCUGAGGGAAAUCAUGGAAAAACAACAAACCUUUGUGUGCAGCUGUGUACUGCUACUGUUACCUGUGAGGUGAUGCCACAGUCCACCAGGUGCUGCAGCAGUUCCUUGUCGUGAUGAGCCAGA